rnacentral:misc_RNA from 1 species
GAGCGUCAUUACACCCCUCAAGCCUGGCUUGGUCUUGGCGCCGCGGCUUAGCUCGCGAGCUUCAUAUGUCCGGCCGUCGCCGUCCGCCCCAAAGCGUUGUGGCAAACAAUCCGCUUCCGGGGUCGGUUCGGGCAACGCGCCGUUAAACCCCUAUAUCACAGGUUGACCUCGGAUCGGGUAGGGAUACCCGCUGAACUUAA